rnacentral:lncRNA from 1 species
UUCACUCUCUCUCUCUUCAAAAGUCUCUCUAAACUUUCUCUCCCUGCGAUUUUCGACCACCACUGUCAGUUAUGGUGACACCGCCGGCUGUCGUCGGUCGACCAUCGUUGAAGCCCAAAAUUCACCACGAACCCCCUUUCGGCCUCUUCGUCUCGGAUAUAGGGUCAGAUUCUUGAAAAUCGUCCCCUAAUGUCUCAGAUCUGCCACCAAAGCCGCGACCUAAAACCCUCUAGAACGUUGGCCUCCACCACUCGAAUUGAUUAGGUAUUUCAGUAUGUUCUUCACCUUUUCGUGCUUUUCUCGUUCAUGGGUCUCGAUCUGUGAAAGUUCACCUGUUGUCGUUGGCCACCUUAGUUGCUGCUGUUUAAAACUCCGUAAAACACCAGUUCGGCCUUCUUAACAACUUGGUGAACUUGGACUUUAAAUAAUCUUCUCUAAUAUUCCGUGAUUUGUUUUCCUGCUAUGAGUUUAUUACGGUCUUGUCUUUUUUAAUUGCUUCUCUCUAUAUGAACUGGUUUUCGGCUUAAUUGUGUCUGGGUUUUUCAUUUUUUGUGUAAUGGCUUGGUUAUGCUUAUUGCUAGGUUUGGUAGUACACUAGUUGUUAGGUUUCUGUGGCAAGAGUGGUGAUGGAAUUGAUGUUGACAAGGGUUUGAGAAUAUUGGUCUUGGCUAGCUGUUUGGGAAGAUAAUUUUGGGUUUUAGACUUCAAUGGCAGGUGAUAAUCGCGGGAUGGUGUGCGACAGUCGAGGGAUGGUGGCAACAGUAUAGUCGAAUGUGGGGUGAUGAGAUGAAAACAGAUAUGACUGUCGAUGGUUUUUUGGCAAAGAAUCAACUUUUAAUUGCAAUGAGAAUUGAAGCUGUUAUCUUCUCUAAUGGAUUCUUCCACCCCCCUUUAAUGUGCUUUACUGUGCUGAUUAAAUAAGCCUCCAAGUCUCAAUCGAAUUCAAGAUAAAAAAAUGGAUUCCAUCCCAAGGGACUUUCCUACGUUAUCUCUUAUAAUUUCAAAUUUCAUCCCAAAAACUUUAUUUUUAGAGCAAUUUUGAUCCAAAUUCAAACACCGUAACUUAUCAUUUCAAUUUUUUUAUCAUUUUCGAAAAAGUGAUAAUAGCAGCAAAAUAAAACAAUU